UAAGACAAAGCUUAAUUAGGAAAGCGUUUCACUUACGUUGAAAAGAUAUUCGUGCGACUCGAUUUGUCUUAA
rnacentral:tRNA from 1 species